rnacentral:rRNA from 1 species
UUUAAUUUGGCGGCAUUUCAUCUAUUUAGAGGAAUUUGUCCUUUAAUCGAUAAUCCACGUUAAAUUUCACUUUAAUUUAAAAUUUAUAUACCAUCAUCUUAAGAAUUAAUUUAAAAAUAUUUCUCUUAAUAAUUUAUAAAAAGUUAGAUCAAGGUAUAAUCCACAUUAAAGAAUAAGAUGAAUUACAUUAAAUAAUAUUUAAAGAUUAUUAAUAAAUAUAUAAAUAUAAAUAAGAAUUUAAAAGUAAUAUAUAAACAAUAAUAAUAUAUGAUAAAGAUAAUAAAUGUGCACACAUCGCCC